rnacentral:siRNA from 1 species
ACGGAAAGGGUGCUCCAUGAC